rnacentral:rRNA from 1 species
AGAGUUUGAUCCUGGCUCAGAACAAACGCUGGCGGCGCGUUUUAAGCAUGCAAGUCGGACGGCAAGAGCUGUAGCAAUAUGGCUCCUAGAGUGGCGAACGGGUGAGUAACACGUAGGUGAUCUGCCCUUGGAUGGGGGAUAGUCCGUGGAAACACGGGGUAAUACCGCAUGAGGCCUUGUGGGUAGAGCCAUGAGGUGAAAGGUGCAAUUGCACCGUCUGGGGAUGAGCCUGCGGUCCAUUAGGUAGUUGGCGGGGUAAGGGCCCACCAAGCCUGCGAUGGAUAGCCGGCCUGAGAGGGUGUACGGCCACACUGGAACUGAGACACGGUCCAGACUCCUACGGGAGGCAGCAGCUAAGAAUCUUCCGCAAUGGGGGAAACCCUGACGGAGCGACGCCGCGUGGACGAUGGAGGCCGUAAGGUUGUAAAGUCCUUUUCCUGGUGAAGAAUGACCGUGGGAGUGGAAAGCCCAUGGGAUGACGUUAGCCAGGGAAUAAGCCCCGGCCAAUUACGUGCCAGCAGCCGCGGUAAUACGUAUGGGGCAAGCGUUGUUCGGAGUUAUUGGGCGUAAAGGGCGUGUAGGCGGCUCAUCAAGUCUGGUGUGAAAAUGCAGGGCCUAACUCUGCAGAUGCGCUGGAAACUGGUGGGCUUGAGUUCCUGAGGGGAAGCUGGAAUUCCAGGUGUAGGGGUGAAAUCUGUAGAUAUCUGGAAGAACACCGGUGGCGAAGGCGAGCUUCUAUCAGAGGACUGACGCUGAGGCGCGAAAGCGUGGGGAGCAAACAGGAUUAGAUACUCCUGAUAGUCCACGCUGUAAACGAUGUGCACUAGGCGUGGGGCACGUCCGUGCUCUGUGCCGAAGCUAACGUGAUAAGUGCACCGCCUGGGGGAGUAUGCUCGCAAGGGUGAAACUCAAAGGAAUUG